rnacentral:rRNA from 1 species
ACGACCAUAGGGUGUGGAAAACAGGGCUUCCCGUCCGCUCAGCCGUACUUAAGCCACACGCCGGGAGGUUAGUAGUUGGGUGGGUGACCACCAGCGAAUCCCUUCUGUUGUAUGUA